UAGAAUGGGAACCGUUGCGCAAAGUCUCGUCAAUCUGAUACUUGGCUAUUGUAUUCUUCAUGAUGACUUGGGUGAAUAAGUUGUUACAAUUUUUUAGGAAUUUACUUCCGAAUCCAGCCACCUUUUUGCAUUGAAAAUAGACAUGCUAUUCAUAUAUGAUUUGUACAUAUCAUGAACGCAAAAGAAACAUGCGGGAACCAAUCGUACGUGUCAUUAGUCAAACCAAACAGUUAACAAUACAUUCACCAAACCUAUUAGACGAAUAUAUCACCAAACCUGUUUGAUGUAACUAUAACCAAUAGAUUUUGCAUACAAGCCCUCGUUUUAUACAAAUUGAAUGGUGGUUUCAGUCUACGUUUGAUGAUCCAACUCCAUUGGUAGAAUAACAUAUACUUAUUGGACCAAAGUGACAGUCGAUGUAUAUCCUUAUAAGUUCUUUUUUUUUUCUAUAAGGAAACGAAAUCUAAAACAAGCGAAUGAUAAUGAUAUUUUAAGAGAGAAUCAAUCUACUUUAAAAAAUUUCCAACCUGAUUUUCAAAACGACUACAGAGUUAAGCCGGAUCAUACAUAAAAAACUGAAACUAGCAACAAACCCAUCUGCAAAUUCUAAUACGCAAAACUCAAAGCAGAGAAAGAGAGAGGUUGCUGUUGCUUCUCCAACUACAGAGUAAAGAAUGGAUGUUCUGAGUCACUCUGCUCUCUUUUGGUGGCUGGCUGAACUAAAUCAAGCUUCCACGCUCACAAGCUCAUACUCGAUGAGAGAAAGAUUGUUAUCUUCCUUGACAGUGAUGUCUGUGGCCUCCUCUGCCACUUCAACACGGCCCCAUCUAUCAACUGCAAGCCUCAUAGAUCCCUUGUACAUGUCAAUCUUUGCAUUGCGCAGUGUCACCACCUUGCCUUCUUUCAUCAAAUCCACUGAUUAAAAAAAAAAUGAAUUAAAAA